rnacentral:rRNA from 1 species
CGUAAGGCGCCGAAUGAGUCAUUAAAAAAUUAACAUCAUCCGAUCCCUAGUCGGCAUAGUUUAUGGUUAAGACUACGACGGUAUCUGAUCGUCUUCGAUCCCCCUAACUUUCGUUCUUGAUUAAUGAAAACAUCCUUGGCAAAUGCUUUCGCAGUAGUUAGUCUUCAAUAAAUCCAAGAAUUUCACCUCUGACAAUUGAAUACUAAUGCCCCCAACUAUCCCUAUUAAUCAUUACGUCAAUCCCUAGAAACCAACAAAAUAGGAUCGAACGUCCUAUUUCAUUAUUCCAUGCUAAUGUAUUCAAGCGUUAGCUUGCUUUAAACACUCUAAUUUUUUCAAAGUAACAGUCCAGUUUCCCUGCAACACCAAAUUAAUGGCAUUACAGUUCAUCAGGAAGGAGGAGUCAGUGAGACCAGUACGUACCAGUGGCACGACCAACCUACUAACCCCGAAAUUCAACUACGAGCUUUUUAACUGCAACAACUUUAAUAUACGCUAUUGGAGCUGGAAUUACCGCGGC